ACACGCCCGGGGUAUCCACCUCCUACUGGAUCCCACCGGCGGAGCUAGCCACGGCAACCCCCGUGUUCCUCUUCUCGCUGCCGCCCUGAAGAGGACCCGCCCAAGUUCGCGCCACGGCGGAUCUCCCCUGCCCUAGUACCUCUUCUCCACGCAUGUUGAUGCGGGCCGCCGCCUCACCCUGCUGGCCGAGAUCCCCCACCCGCCCCCGCGCCGUCCUGGCCGACCACAUUGACCUUCACGCGAGGGCCACCUUGACCUUCCCGGAGGUUCAUCCAUGGAGCGACCGCUUCCGCCCCUCCAUCUCCGUCAAGGUGCGCCAUCCCUCCUGCUGUGCCCUCUUUCAGUGAAGCUCCACGCCACCACUGUCGUCAUGCCACUCCGGCCACCAGCACGCACGGGGUGUUCUUCUCGCGACGGACAACUUGAACUUGCUCAGGAAGUAGAUGAACCUUGUACAAUACAAUAUUUGAACUUCUGUUAACAUCUGUGUUCCUUCUCGCGGCUUAUUUCUCUGAAUUUUUGCUACUACGACGCCCACAAAGGAAGAGUAGCACCUCUGAAUCUGAAGUUCUACCUGAAACUGAACUUCUACCUCUUUGCUAUAGGAGUGGUUGUCGAGUCCUUAAUCGCUUGCACUACUUGCUUCUAGCAUCUUGUCCAUGGAGUCAAAGCGCUGCCUGGUGUGCCAUCUUGUUUUUGGAUGGGGCGCCGUCGCGACCCAGCGUCUCCCUGAGCUCCGCAUCCCGUUCACCACCGCGGUUGUCCUGCGUCCUCACGACCUCCGCGGCUAGUCCACCAACGCCUUGCCAGUGCGCCCUGAGCAAAGCAUGGGGUUCGUGCUAAUGCGUUUGUUCGUGCACCGGUGUGUGCGUGCGUGCUGGCAUUUGUGUGUGCGCUGGGUGUGUUGCUUGCAUGCUGUGAUGUAUGAUGUAUAGAUUUUGUUUGAAAUUCAUGUUGUGAAUCCAACUAAGUUUGAACAAAAAAGAUCAGAUCACUGCUGCUUUGAA